CCGAUGGCGACCGGCGCACGGGUGAGUAACACGUAUCCAACCUGCCGUCUACUCUUGGACAGCCUUCUGAAAGAAAGAUUAAUACCCGAUGGCAUAGUUCUUCCGCAUGGUAGAACUAUUAAAGAAUUUCGGUCAUCGAUGGGGAUGCGUUCCAUUAGGUUGUUGGCGGGGUAACGGCCCACCAAGCCUUCGAUGGAUAGGGGUUCUGAGAGGAAGGUCCCCCACAUUGGAACUGAGACACGGUCCAA
rnacentral:rRNA from 1 species